AGUUAGCAAGAUAGGACUACGGUCGGAGUCUAUAGCAGUGUUGUUUGAUUGACCUAUCAACUAUCAAGAAUUGAAGAUAACAUGUCAAUGGAGGUUGAGGGAUGUGAGGAGAUGACUCCGAUCACAGAAUUUGAAUUGUCGGGCGAUGAAAAUGAAGAAGAGCCAUCCCCUAUCACGAGUGCGACAAACAAGGAAAAGAGCAACUCCAAUGGGUACCAUGCAUUUGCUCCUCGGGAACAACAAUUAUGUCUAAUGACUGAAACUUAGCUCUUUUAGUACGAAUAUCUUCGUUUCAAAUGUUUAAAUUGAUAGAAGUAGGAUUUAGAGGAGUUGGUGAUGUCCUCUUGCACAGCUGCAUCCAUUUCAUUUUGUCAUGUCCUCUAACAAGUCUAGUGAGCGAAACUUGGUGACAAGUCUAGUGACUUUUGUUAUGUUUCCUCUCUUUUAUCUAAUGAAAUUCCUUGCCAAAUAGCAGCCAAUUCUGUUUCGUUUGUUGAUAA